rnacentral:rRNA from 1 species
AUAGCGUAUAUUAAAGUUGUUGCCGUUAAAAAGCUCGUAGUCGAACUUCGGCCUUUGCUGCCCGGUCCGCCUUUUUGGGUGUGUACUGGAGCAGUGGAGGCUUACCUCGUGGUGAACAAUCAUGUCCUUUACUGGGUGUGGUUGGGAACCAUGACUUUUACUUUGAAAAAAUUAGAGUGUUCAAAGCAGGCUCACGCCUGAAUACAUUAGCAUGGAAUAAUAAAAUAGGACGUGCGGUUCUAUUUUGUUGGUUUCUAGGAUCGCCGUAAUGAUUAAUAGGGAUAGUUGGGGGCAUUCGUAUUCAAUUGCUAGAGGUGAAAUUCUUGGAUUUAUUGAAGACGAACUACUG